GUUGAUUGGUCGAGAAAUGUGGGAGGAGUAGCGAAAAAACAGUUUUGCGGUUUUCGCGAUUUUGCGAAAAAAAAUUCUAGACGCAAAUGGGCGUGGCCUAUGCCAAAAGAUGCAGCAGACUCCAGUGAAUCUGUGUGUACAAGGUUUUGAAUGUGGGAGGUUCGGUGUGGGAGUUAUAGCCCCAAACGUGUAUUCCUUGGUAUAGCGCCACCUAGUGGCCGGCAGGUCUGGAUUUGGUCGUCUGCAUAGUCUUCACGUACCUGGAUCUAGUCAUGUAAUUGGCGUGUGUGCACCAUUUACGGUUUGGGCGGUAGUACCACUUUCUUGGUAGGAAGUAUAAGAACUAGAACUGCAAGCAGUUAUGCAGGGGUCCAAGAAGUGUGCAUUUCGCCGGCACAACGCGACAAGAAAUGUGCGUUUCGCCGGCACAACGCGAAGCAAGUGUUCAAAACGCUACCGUGAACAACAUGUGGAUAUAAAGGUUUUGACUGUGGGAGCUUCGGUGUGGGAGUUAUAGCCUAAAACGCGUUUUCAGAACAUUGGCCAAAUAGGAGAUAGACAAUGUCGUCGUUUUUUGGCGCCGCCCUGUGGCGAAAUUUUCCAAAGACAAUUUUCCUUUGCCAAAUAACUCCCGCCCACAUUAAUAAUUCUUGGCCAUAUUUUCUAUAUAGACUCGGGUUUGCCCCUUGGUGGUUUCCCUUGAGUUUGAAGAACAUUCCUUUGGCCAAUUAGAAGAUAUACAAUUUCCUCGUUUAUUGCGCCCCCUAAUGGCGAAAUUUUCCGAAUUUUUUAU
ensembl:lncRNA